rfam:Bulleidia extructa W1219 contig00009, whole genome shotgun sequence.
UAUAAUACAAGAGUCACAUAUCGUAUAUCCUCUCGAAUUGGCGAGAGAGUCUCUACCCCAUGGCCGUAACUAUGGGACUACGGUGUCUAGAUUUUUUAGA